CACAUCAGCUCGAGUGAGAAUACGCGCUAAACUUAAGCAUAUCAGUCAGCGCACGUAUAAUAGAAACUAACCAGGAUUCCCUUAGUAACGGCGAGUGAACUGGGAUACCAAUAUAAAAAUACGCACUCUGGUCGAAUUUUAGCCCGUCGAUACUAUCCUAGCAUAUUACCGGCUUCGGCCAGUAACCAAAUAUGCGGGAAUUGUAGCAUCGUAAUAAAAUAAAUAUAUUUAAGCACGUACGCACACACACAAUACGCAUAGUACUGGCACACAAUCUUGUAAACACACAGCGUCUCCGCGUUGGAAAGCAAGUUUAUAUCCUCUUUGGAUAUGCCAUAGAGUGUGACAGCCACGUUUGAAUUACUCACCGUGCACACACAGUACUUAAUACACACACACACAUACAUACGCGUAGUGAGAAAGUGCACGCGGCGCCCAAACAUAUAUUUAUAUAACCUGAGUCGAGUUAUUUGGGACUAUAGCUCUAAUAGUUUGGUUGGUGGUAAUGACACAUCAAAGGCUAAAUAUUGGUUAGUCGAUGCAUAUUACGGAGACCGAUAGCAUACAAGUACCGUAAGGAACGAUGAAAAGCACCCUAUUGAGUUCACGGCGCAGACUGCUUUUGCCUGCCUUCGGGUGGGCGCUGCACGUCAACGCCUAACAACUACAGUGGGAGUGAAAGAGAGAGUGAAGUCGCCUAUACAUAAAAUAUAUACUUCGCACACACAUUGUAAGUAUUAUAUAUUUGCAGUCUGCGUUAGUACAAUCGGACAGAGUGUCGUAUAAAUUUAUAUAGCCGCCUAAUAUAUACUCACCCGUGCAUAUUAUGGUUUGGCUCAUAGCGAUUUCGAUCGCUAUACGCGACACAACUGUACGACCCGUUUUGAAACACGGACCAAGGAGUUCAACUGGAUUACGAGUCGUAGAGAUAUUUAUAUUAUAUAUGUAUACUCGCACGGCAAAGCGAAAGCAACUUAAUCCUUUACUGUGCUAGGUUGGCCCUUAAAAGCUGACCGCAGCACGCGCUGAGUGUGUAUAUACGUGAGGGCUUCCAUGUCAACGCGUAUACCUGUUCGCUUUGCUUCGGGCGGAACAAACAGGAUCACUCAAGCGUUCAACGAGUAUAUCUUGUUGAGACCCGAAAGAUGGUGAACUAUGCUCGGAUAUGGCGAAGUCAGGUGAAAACUUGAUGGAAGCUUGCGUUGUGCGGAACUGACGUGCAAAUCGUUACCGCCUAACCUGAGUAUAGGGGCGAAAGACUCAUCGAACCAUCUAGUAGCUGGUUCCCUCCGAAGUUUCCCUCAGGAUAGC
rnacentral:rRNA from 1 species